rnacentral:rRNA from 1 species
AAUAAGCGGAGGAAAAGAAACUAACAAGGAUUCCCCUAGUAACUGCGAGUGAAGCGGGAAAAGCUCAAAUUUAAAAUCUGGCGGUCUCUGGCCGUCCGAGUUGUAAUCUAGAGAAGUAAUGCCCGUGCUGGACCGUGUAUAAGUCUCCUGGGAUGGGGCGUCAUAGAGGGUGAGAAUCCCGUCUUUGACACGGACUACCAGUGCAUUGUGGUAUGCUCUCAAAGAGUCGAGUUGUUUGGGAAUGCAGCUCAAAAUGGGUGGUAAAUUCCAUCUAAAGCUAAAUAUUGGCGAGAGACCGAUAGCGAACAAGUACCGUGAGGGAAAGAUGAAAAGAACUUUGGAAAGAGAGUUAAACAGUACGUGAAAUUGCUGAAAGGGAAACGCUUGAAGUCAGUCGCGUUGGCCGGGGAUCAGCCUUGCUUUUGCAUGGUGUACUUUCUGGUUGACGGGUCAGCAUCAAUUUUGACCGCUGGAAAAAGACCUGGGGAAUGUGGCAGCUUCGGCUGUGUUAUAGCCCCUAGUCGCAUACAGUGGUUGGGAUUGAGGAACUCAGCACGCCGCAAGGCCGGGUUUCGACCACGUUCGUGCUUAGGAUGCUGGCAUAAUGGCUUUAAGCGACCCGUCUUGAAACACGGACCAAGGAGUCUAACAUGCCUGCGAGUAUUUGGGUGGAAAACCCAAGUGCGUAAUGAAAGUGAAAGUUGAGAUCCCUGUCGUGGGGAGCAUCGACGCCCGGACCAGAACUUUUGGGACGGAUCCGCGGUGGAGCAUGUAUGUUGGGACCCGAAAGAUGGUGAACUAUGCCUGAAUAGGGUGAAGCCAGAGGAAACUCUGGUGGAGGCUCGUAGCGAUUCUGACGUGCAAAUCGAUCGUCAAAUUUGGGUAUAGGGGCGAAAGACUAAUCGAACCAUCUAGUAGCUGGUUCCUGCCG